GAUGAACGCUGGCGGCGUGCCUAAUACAUGCAAGUCGAGCGAAUGGAUUAAGAGCUUGCUCUUAUGAAGUUAGCGGCGGACGGGUGAGUAACACGUGGGUAACCUGCCCAUAAGACUGGGAUAACUCCGGGAAACCGGGGCUAAUACCGGAUAACAUUUUGAACCGCAUGGUUCGAAAUUGAAAGGCGGCUUCGGCUGUCACUUAUGGAUGGACCCGCGUCGCAUUAGCUAGUUGGUGAGGUAACGGCUCACCAAGGCAACGAUGCGUAGCCGACCUGAGAGGGUGAUCGGCCACACAGGGACUGAGACACGGCCCAGACUCCUACGGGAGGCAGCAGUAGGGAAUCUUCCGCAAUGGACGAAAGUCUGACGGAGCAACGCCGCGUGAGUGAUGAAGGCUUUCGGGUCGUAAAACUCUGUUGUUAGGGAAGAACAAGUGCUAGUUGAAUAAGCUGGCACCUUGACGGUACCUAACCAGAAAGCCACGGCUAACUACGUGCCAGCCACCGCCGUAA
rnacentral:rRNA from 1 species